GGGUUAUGGGGCUGCUUGGGGUGGCCACCUGUCUGGCAGACAGGAUAUCAGAUCGGUUCGAAUCCGAUAUGAUCCACCA
rnacentral:tRNA from 1 species